rnacentral:rRNA from 1 species
CCUACGGGGGGCUGCAGUGGGGAAUAUUGGACAAUGGGCGAAAGCCUGAUCCAGCCAUGCCGCGUGUGUGAAGAAGGCCUUCGGGUUGUAAAGCACUUUCAGUGGGGAAGAAAGCCUUGGGGCUAAUACCCUCGAGGAAGGACAUCACCCACAGAAGAAGCACCGGCUAACUCCGUGCCAGCAGCCGCGGUAAUACGGAGGGUGCGAGCGUUAAUCGGAAUUACUGGGCGUAAAGCGCGCGUAGGCGGUCUGAUAAGCCGGUUGUGAAAGCCCCGGGCUCAACCUGGGAACGGCAUCCGGAACUGUCAGGCUAGAGUGCAGGAGAGGAAGGUAGAAUUCCCGGUGUAGCGGUGAAAUGCGUAGAGAUCGGGAGGAAUACCAGUGGCGAAGGAGGUCUUCUGGACUGACACUGACGCUGAGGUGCGAAAGCGUGGGUAGCAAACAGGAUUAGAUACCCUGGUAGUC